UACGAAGGGGGCUAGCGUUGCUCGGAAUCACUGGGCGUAAAGCGCACGUAGGCGGCUUGUUAAGUCAGGGGUGAAAUCCUGGAGCUCAACUCCAGAACUGCCUUUGAUACUGAAGAUCUUGAGUUCGGGAGAGGUGAGUGGAACUGCGAGUGUAGAGGUGAAAUUCGUAGAUAUUCGGAGGAACACCAGUGGCGAAGGCGGCUCACUGGUCCAUUACUGACGCUGAGGUGCGAAAGCGUGGGGAGCAAACAGG
rnacentral:rRNA from 1 species